rnacentral:tRNA from 1 species
GGGAGUGCAGCUCAGUGAUAGAGUGCUUGCCUAGCAUGUGCAGGGCCCUGGCUUCAAUCCCCAGUACCCCCA